ACGGGAGGCAGCAGUUAGGAAUAUUGGGCAAUGGAGGGAACUCUGACCCAGCAACGCCGCGUGAAGGAAGAAGGUUUUCGGAUUGUAAACUUCUGAUCUGUGGAAAAAAGAAAGUGAUGGUACCACAGGAGCAAGCCACGGCUAACUACGUGCCAGCAGCCGCGGUAAUACGUAGGUGGCGAGCGUUGUCCGGAAUGACUGGGCGUAAAGGGAGCGUAGGUGGUUUGGUAAGUUAAAUGUGAAAGACCGGGGCUCAACUCCGGAACUGCAUUUAAUACUGUCAGACUAGAGUACAGGAGGGGUAAUUGGAAUUCCUAGUGUAGCGGUUAAAUGCGUAGAUAUUAGGAGGAACACCAGAGGCGAAGGCGGAUUACUGGACUGCAACUGACACUGAGGCUCGAAAGCGUGGGGAUCAAACAGGAUUAGAUACCCUGGUA
rnacentral:rRNA from 1 species